AAUCAACAACCACAUUUAACUCAGCACAUGAUGAUUCACACUGGUGAAAAGCCAUUUUCAUGUGGGAGCUGCGGAAAGAGUUUUACUCAGAAACGGCAUUUAACUCCGCACAUGAUGAUUCACACUGGUGAAAAGCCGUAGAACUAUUUUCCAUAUAUGUCCUAUGUUGAGGAUUAUUAUAAAAGUCAUCUAGAUGAAAACUGGAGGGCUUUCUUGUCUAUAAAGUGGUGAAAUGAUUCUUAGAGAUGUACAAGAUGAACUUGAAGUAUUGAUUUGUAUUAUUCUCUAUGGAGAGAAUGAGGUUUACUUUAAAACAUUCUUAAUCCAAAAUUGAAAUUUACUAUAUAAAAUUUUUUUGAGAGGUUUGUCCUUAAAGCAAAACUAGACUGAAACUGAUGCUGUUAUUUGUUUCAAAUUGUAUUAACCCGUCUAUAUAAAAGUUGUUCAAAUAAAUUAACAUGUCUUAUUUAGAAAAUGUCUCCAAUAAUUUGAUGUGUCACUUGUGUUGUAUAAUGUUUCUAUUUUCUGCUGUGGCUGUUUACUAUUAAAGAUCUUUGUUUAAAGUU